AGCACCUCCAGCUAAGCUAGCAUAAUUGCCUCGUGCGCAUUCAAUAUCAGAACGCUUUAUGUACAAGAGCUGUCAGUCAUUUCAUAACAUGGAUGGCUGUAUUAGCAUUUAAAAUUACAUACUCGGCACUGUAAAAGCUGCACCUGAAAUUCAGCUGCAUGUGGAAAAAGCAAGGACCAUCAUUCCGACCAACACAUCUCUAGCCAAGAGGAACACUAUCUGUCACACCCACCAUUGUCCAGCCACAGAUGAGUGCUGUGUCGAGCAGCCUGAAAGCUGAUGCCCUG